CUUGGACAAAACGUCUAGAGCCACAGCAUUCCUAGCUGGCUCUCCCCUUGAACACUGAGCAGAAGGCUGGGGCUGAGGGAGGCAGAGUAGAGGGGAAGGCAGCCUGGAGGAGAGGCAGGGACAGGGAGAGCCGAGGCCGGGUUAGGAGCUCCGAGGCUGGGGGUUAGGAGGAUGGCGGGCCAGGGGAAAAGUGUAGAGGUGGGAGGGCGACGUGGGCACAGGAACGCGGUUAAGGUGGGAGAAAAGUGAAAUACAAGGAGGCCGCGAUUUUAGUGCCAUAGCUGUGACAGGAACGAGAGCUAGAGACGAGGGACAAGGAGGAGGAGGAGAAGGCCAGGUAGGGAAGAUUAAGUUAUGGGGAAAAUAACUAGGAGUCAACUGAGACUAGGCUGGCUAGGGGUUGAAAUAUAAAUGCAUAUAAAUUAUGUACGAGUGAGGAAGAGAAGACUAUUUAAGGUAUGAGUGCUAGACUAUUUUGGAGGUGAGACAGGUAGCAAGGCAACAAGAGACCAACACAUGGGCAGAAAAGGAGACAGGAAUUUAGUAUUCCAGCUUUAGGAGUGGGGAGUCUUUUUUUGCUUUUUCUGCCAUGGAUGUAGUGCUGGUUUGGACAGCGGCCGGCGUCCAAUCAGACAACAGGACCGUAGGCCUUGUCAUAACGACAACCAUGACAUCACUGCCAGGGCUAGCGGAAAGAAGACAGCGGAGCUCCAGACAGACAGCGGGGCUUCACGGGGCUGCACGCCGGACAAAGCGAGCCGGCUGCCGGAUAGAAACCGCGCGGACUACCGGGGAUGGGGGAACACGCUGAGGGUGCCGGUUGGACGUUUCUCGGCCGGCGUUGGGAGCUCUGUCCCGGACAAGUUGAGGCUUCCUCGGGGAAGCGAGAUGAAGAUAUGGAGGAGGUUGAGCGAUAUGGCAUCUUGUUUAAUUUCUGCCAAUCAAGACGAGAGGAAGACGACUCCCAAACUGGCAGUAAGUUGGAGUGCGGUGGAGAGGAGAAGCCGUGUGUGUGUGUGUAGUGUUUGUGUGUUUGUGUCGGUGUG
rnacentral:lncRNA from 1 species